GGACCAUCAUGUUGGUCGUGCCUAGGUACGUACUGGCAUUGUUGGUUUCUCCCUUCUGACGAACCAUGAUGUCGUUAAUUUGGUGUUGUGGGGAAUCAGGACUGUUACUUUGAAAAAAUUAGAGUGUUUAAAGCAAGCUAACGCUUGAAUACAUUAGCAUGGAAUAAUGAAAUAGGACGUUUGAUCCUAUUUUGUUGGUUUCUAGGAUCGACGUA
rnacentral:rRNA from 1 species